AGGCUAAUAUCUAUUACUUUGCUUUUUUAAUGUCCAAUUAUGUUACACAUGGUAGAAGUACCCCUUGUAUAUGUAUAUCUAACAGUACUGGUUAGCUCUACUCAGUAACUACAUAGCUUUUUAUUGCAUCUGUAUUUAUUUUGUGUUUGUACACGUGUGAGCUUGUGUAUGCCACAGAAUGGAUGAAGGUCAGAAGACAGCUUGCAGCCUCCCCAGCAUCCAGAUCCCAGGGGUUGAACUCAGGCCAUCAGGCUUUGUGACAAGAUGAAUACACCAGAGAUGUAGCGGUCGAUGUAGCGCAAUGGUACUGCUUGCCUAACAUUUGCAAGAUUCUGGGUUCGAUCCCCAACACACACAUACAAAAUUAAACAACAAUAAUAAUUUUUAAGACCCUUUAGGCCACUGUUUGUUUCCUAAUUACUUGUAAAAUACCUUAUCUUAGCCUGCUUUUGAAGUGAGUUAUAUUUUCUUAAAAGAGAAGGAAAGUGAGACCUAAGUAAUUGUGGCAUCCAAAUUGUAAAACUGACAGAACCAGAAAUUGGACCUAAAAGUAUAGAAAUUUGGACCCAGUUACUCAUCAAACUGUAUUUGAUCCUGAUGGUGAGAUGAGACAGAAACCAGCAGGAACUAAGUAAUUUUCUAGACCCUAAAUCCAGCCAUCUCUUGAUUUCUCAUCUGAACUUUGUGAUCUCAUGUAAGUUUAUGAUUCAAGAAUAAUAGCCACAUGGUAGUGGUUUCGCCUUUAUUCCCAGUACUCAGAAAGCAGAGGCAGGCACAUAUCUUGAAUUUGAGGCCAGCCUUUUCUACAGAACAAGUUCCAAGACAGCCAGAGCUAUACAAAGAAACCCUAUCUAAAAAAAAAAAUUGGAGAAACAUCCAGUGUCUCACACCCUCUCAGAUAGUUAUAUCUGGGUCCUGACUUUGACUUUGUCCAGUUUAUCCAUGGUUUGUACUCUCCAUGUUCCAACUAUUAAUUCUUAUCCAUCUUGAUUGACUGUUAAGGUGUCACAAGCUUGUGUUCAAACACCUUUAUAUAGCAACCUAAAUCCAUAUUGUUCCCCCUGUUCACUAGAAGAGUGAACACAAUAAAUAAGAUAUUUGUGAAUGUACUUUCACAUAACUUUCAUUGUACUGCUAUAAUAUUUUAGUAGGGAUAAUGUAUAUCUAGUAUAUAAGUUAAACUUCGUUCAUAGGUAUUUAUGUAUAGGUGUACACAUUAUCUUCUUAGGGUUUACAACUAUCCUUGGUUUCCACUAUUCUCUAGGGAGUCUUAGAAGAAAUCCCCAUAAAGAGACAUACCAUGUGUGUUCACAGAAAACCUUGUACAAAAAAUUUAAUGACAGUUAUUCAUAGUCAAGUCUAGAUGGAGAACAGAUAAACUGUAAAAUGUGGAUAAAGUGGACAGUGCUUAAUAUAAAAAGAGACCAUUUGUAUAUAUAGUAAUAGAUGGAUCUCAGAUAUGCUAUGCUGAGUGAAAGACAUUAGGUGCAGAAAUGUUCAUAAUUUCCAAUGUUUUCCUUGAUAGUAUCUCUGUGUAACCUAAAAUGACCUUAUAGUUUUAGUCUCUGGAAUGCUGGGCUUACAGGUAGGUGUAUAUACACUGCCAGCUCUAAGGUCUAAAUUCUUAGUACAAGUUGACCUUCUCUGAUUCAAAAACCUAAAAUUUGAAGUGUUUAAAAACUCAAGACAUCUUGAGCACCAUAUGAUAGAUACCGCCCAGGUAGAAACUGUGACCUGACUGACCUGAAGUGAUGGUCCACGGUGAGAACAUAGGUGUAGGAGCUAGAAAGAUGACUUACCAGCUACAAUCACACUGGUGCUCUUCUCAGGACCUAGGUUUGAUUCCCAGCACCUCACAAGCCAUCUGUCCUCCUAAUUCCUAGGCAUCCAACACCCUCUUCUGGACUCUAGAUACCAGACACACAAGUAGUGCAUAGACACAUUCAAGCAAAACACUCAUGCUAAUAAAUUUUCAAAAAGGGGGAUGAGACAUGGUGGCAUAUACAUUUAAUCUCUGCAUAGACAGCAAAGGCAGGCGGAUUUCUGAGUUCGAGGCCAGCAUGGUCUACAGAGUGAGUUCCAGGACAGCCAGAGCUACACAGAGAAACCCUGUCUCAAAAAACCAAAAAAAAAAAAAAAAAAACCACGAAGACAUUGGUGCAGUUAAAAUUACUUCUAUGUAAAGCCAGGUGCGUGGUGAUACAGGGCUGUAACCAACACUUCAGAGGCCAAGGCAGGAGAUGACAAGUUCAGGGCCAACCAUAACAACCUAAUAAGACUUUGUCUUUAAAAAU
rnacentral:lncRNA from 1 species